rnacentral:rRNA from 1 species
AGUGAACGCUGGCGGUAGGCCUAACACAUGCAAGUCGAACGGCAGCACAGUAAGAGCUUGCUCUUACGGGUGGCGAGUGGCGGACGGGUGAGGAAUACAUCGGAAUCUACUUUUUCGUGGGGGAUAACGUAGGGAAACUUACGCUAAUACCGCAUACGACCUACGGGUGAAAGCAGGGGAUCUUCGGACCUUGCGCGAUUGAAUGAGCCGAUGUCGGAUUAGCUAGUUGGCGGGGUAAAGGCCCACCAAGGCGACGAUCCGUAGCUGGUCUGAGAGGAUGAUCAGGCACACGGGAACUGAGACAAGGUCCAGACUCCUACGAGAGGCAGCAGUGGGGAAUAUUGGACAAUGGGCGCAAGACUGAACCAGCCAUACCGCGUGGGUGAAGAAGGCCUUAGGGUUGUAAAGCCCUUUUGUUGGGAAAGAAAAGCAGCAGGUUAAUACCCCGCUGUUCUGACGGUACCCAAAGAAUAAGCACCGGCUAACUUCGUG